rnacentral:rRNA from 1 species
CCUACGUGGGGCAGCAGUGAGGAAUAUUGGUCAAUGGGCGAGAGCCUGAACCAGCCAAGUAGCGUGAAGGAUGACUGCCCUACGGGUUGUAAACUUCUUUUAUCAAGGAAUAAAGUGAGGCACGUGUGCCUUUUUGUAUGUACUUUAUGAAUAAGGAUCGGCUCACUCCGUGCCAGCAGCCGCGGUAAUACGGAGGAACCGAGCGUUAUCCGGAUUUAUUGGGGUAAAAGGGAGCGAGGAUGGGUUUUUAAGUCAGUUGUGAAAGUUUGCGGCUCAACCGUAAAAUUGCAAUUGAUACUGGCAGCCUUGAGUACAGUUGAGGGAGGCGGAAUUCGUGGUGUAGCGGUGAAAUGCUUAGAUAUCACGAAGAACUCCGAUUGCGAAGGCAGUUUACUAAACUGCCACUGACAUUGAUGCUCGAAAGUGUGGGUAUCAAACAGGAGUAGAUACCCUGGUAGUC